CUCCGGCUUCUGGGAUGCCUCGGCGGCCUCCGUGAGUGCGUCUGGCUCGCACCCUCAGCCGCAGGCCUCUUACCUUUCCCCUUCUCCAAGCCUUCGCGACGCUCCUGAAGGUCUGCCGCUCCAGCCUCCACGAUGAGUGCACGGUUCACAACCUCCCGGUAGGUUUGGAUGUUGGAGGACUGCACCAACCGAAAGAUCGAAGGCCGCAAUCCACGCUCAAAAAUGCG
rnacentral:lncRNA from 1 species